rnacentral:rRNA from 1 species
GAGUCGAGUUAUUUGGGACUAUAGCUCUAAUAGUUUGGUUGGUGGUAAUGACACAUCAAAGGCUAAAUAUUGGUUAGUCGAUGCGUAUACGCGGAGACCGAUAGCAUACAAGUACCGUAAGGGAACGAUGAAAAGCACCCUAUUGAGUUCACGGCGCGGACUGUCAGCAACUCGUUGCCGACGUCUUGCGCCCAACAACUACAGUGGGAGUGAAAGAGAGAGUGAAAUCGCCUAUACAAAUAUAUAUUAUGCUGUACACACACACACACACACACACACACUCACACAGCUUUGUGUAUAACACACACAGUCUGCGUUAGUACAAUCGGACAGAGUGUCGUAUCACUUAUAUAUAAGCCGCUAAUACGCAGUAUAUAUAUUCUGCGUAUUAUGGCUUUGGCUCAUAGCAUCCGCUAUACGCGACACAACUGUACGACCCGUUUUGAAACACGGACCAAGGAGUUCAACUGGAUUACGAGUCGUCGAGUUAUAUAUUCAUAUAUACACUCAUACGGCGUAGCGAAAGCAAUCUUAAUCCUAAGGUGCUAGGUCGGUGCCUCUGUGUAUUGACCGCAGCACGCGCUGAGUGAGUAUACGCUGUGAGGGCCUUACGGUCAACGCACGUACCUUUGCGUGUAUUUAUAUACGCGGAGGCAACACACUCAAGCGUUCAACGAGUAUAUCUUGUUGAGACCCGAAAGAUGGUGAACUAUUCUCGGAUAUGGCGAAGUCAGGUGAAAACUUGAUGGAAGCUUGCGUUGUGCGGAACUGACGUGCAAAUCGUUACCGCCUAACCUGAGUAUAGGGGCGAAAGACUCAUCGAACCAUCUAGUAGCUGGUUCCCUCCGAAGUUUCCCUCAGGAUAGC